GCCCUUGUAGAUCAAUGGUAGAUCACCAUCUCUCAAUAACAAUUAAGCGUGAAUUUCAAGCAGGGAUGAGGGUUCGAACCCCCCCAAGGGCA